UACGGGGGGGGCAAGCGUUGUUCGGAAUUACUGGGCGUAAAGGGUUCGUAGGUGGCUUGCUAAGUCAGACGUGAAAUCCCUCGGCUCAACCGGGGAACUGCGUCUGAGACUGGCGAGCUUGAGUGCAGGAGAGGAACGCAGAAUUCCUGGUGUAGCGGUGGAAUGCGCAGAUAUCAGGAGGAACACCGAUGGCGAAGGCAGGUCACUGGGCCGCAACUGACGCUGAGGAGCGAAAGCAUGGGGAGCGAACAGG
rnacentral:rRNA from 1 species